CCAUCCGUCCCUUGAUACUCUCCUCUUUCCAUAUGUGACAGAGAGAAUCUUUUCCUGUUGCUGAUGGUUUUGGGCCCGUAGAUGUUGUUUAUUCAUCACUCCACGGAGAGAAACAGAGAGCGUCCCCCAGGUUUGAAAUGGUCUAUUCGGGACCGGAUGCCUCUCGGCAUUUACGCUUUACUAUGUUUUCACGUCUGCCCCUGAGUCCAGUACCCACGGCGAUGACCCCCGCCCCCCACACCGCUGAGGCAGCUCAUCUCCACCAGACAGAGUUUACCUGUAGAGGUGGAUCUCUAAGCUGAUUACCUUCUGUCGUCCUCGUAUAGCCCUCCUGAGCGGAGGGACCCUGGGACUGUAUGAGUGACUGGGUUUCUGCUGUUUGCAUAGAUUGGCUGGAUCUCAUUCUGGGUUAUGUAUAUACAGUCCUCCCAUCAUGUCCUCCUAUAUCUACCUUCCUUCAUUGGGUAACUAAACAAGCUAGAAGAACAACUCCUGCCCUUCAGUAUUACAUCACAAUGCGUAUCCUGGUUACGUUAAUGUUCCUGCAUGGAAAUGGUCGCCUGGCAACAGUAGCCCCGCUGCUGUGUUCUACUCACUGAGAUGGAGGACAGAUGAUCUCCUUGACAGUUUUACAUCAUAGAGAGUCUGCUGGUGCUAGACUGAAGUAGGAGAGAAGAUGCAUAUACCAGCAUACAAUUCAAACUGGUCUGAUGCUGGUCAAACUGGUCUGACCACGCCCGUCAUUAUCAUAUUUCUCAGCAAGCAUUGCAGUUUAUUAUUUUUUUAAUUAUUUGUUUCACUAUUUGUUUUGUUUGUUUUGUUUGUGCAUGUACAUUAUUUGAUUAAUUCAUUAAUAUUAUGCUACACAAUGAUACAGUGCAAUUUGGAAAGUAUUCAGACCCCUUGACUUUUUCCCCCAUUUUGUUACGUUACAGCCUUAUUCUAAAAUGGAUUAAAUGAAAAUGUACCCUCAUGAAUCUACACACAAUACCCCACAAUGACAAAGUGAAAACAGCUUUUUCGAAAUUUUAGCAAAUUUAUUAAAAAUAAAAAAUUUAUACUUUAUUUACAUAAGUAUUCAGUCCCUUUAGUAUGCGACUUGAAAUUGAGCUCAGGUGCAUCCUGUUUCCAUUGAUCAUCGUUGAGAUGUUUCUACAACUUGAUUGGAGUCCACCUGCGGUAAAUUAAAUUGAUUGGACAUGAUUUGGAAAGGCACUGUCACGACUCCUGCCGAAGUCGAUGCCCCUCCUUGUUCGGGCGGUGCUCGUCGGUCGACGUCACCGGUCUUCUAGUCAUCAUUGAUCCAUUUUUCAUUUUUCCAUUGGUUUUGUCUUGUCUUCCUACCACACCUGGUUCCAAAUCCCAUUCAUUACAUGUUGUGUAUUUAACCCUCUGUUUUUCCUCAUGUUCUUGCCAGAGAUUGUUUGUUGGUUUUGCGCGUGUUGUCAUUUUUGGUGCGCAAUGGGUUUUUGUACCCAUGUUUCCUUUUUAUUGUACUUCGGUUAUGGAGUUUGUUUUACUUUAUUAAACUU